rnacentral:sRNA from 1 species
AUAUAAACUUUAAUAGAAUUAAAACAGGCGGUUAAAUCUUUUUAUAAUUCAAAUAUUUAAAAAAUAAAAUGCAAAACCCCUUUUUUUUAAUAUGGAUAUUUUGUUAAAACAUUUUUCAAAUUUUAAAUAUAUCGCAAUGUAAAACCUAUUAGCAGGGAGUUGUUAUUAAAAAUAAUAAUAAGAUAUUUGGAUUUAACAUUAUAAAAAACAGCGGAAUUGAAAAACUAACGGUUUAAUACUCUUUGUAAAAAACAGGUAUUUUAAUUUUAUUUACUCCAUUUUAAACCCUGAUGUAAAUUAUAUGAUAUUUUUUCAAUUAUAUAAUUUGCAUUUUUGGAAUUUUAACCUAUUUGUAAUAAAAUUGGAACUAUUUAAAAUUGUAAAAUAUAACCAUUUUGUUAAGAGGUUUUAAAAUUUACAAAUAUAUAUUUACGUGGGUAAAAGUUGUUUUUCAAAAACGCAACCAUAAAAUCGAUUUAUUUUAUUUCUUGAUUUUGUGCGUUAAUUAUAGUUAAUAGUAUACGCAAGGUAAAUAAUAUAUUAAUAUUAGCGAAAGCUUUAAUAUAAUUUAGGUUUUCGUCAUGUGAAAGCCCCCUAAUAGCAAACCUGGUCUUAUAUUUUAUAAACGCAUUAUUUUUAUCCUUUUCAAAUUUUAAUACCGGCCGAGUAAAAAUUAAUUUACAGUUUAUAUAUAUUUAAUUUUAUAAAUAAAGCGGCAAUUUUUUGGAAUAAUAACUUGGUCGAAUUUAAACGUUUAAAUUGCUAAUUGCGUAGUAUUUUUAAAAUAUUUUAAAAUCUAUUUAUAAUUAUUUAGUGUACCAUUCUUAAUAGGCUUUGCUUGUUGCUUUUUGGGUAAAAAUAUAAAGGUAAUGCACGUAAUUAGUAUUUAUUAAAUAUGGGGUUUCGAAUUACGAAUUUAAUUCUACAUCUUGUAUUUUAAAUAGCUAAAAUGCUAAAACUUUAUCAUUUUAAAUAAUAAAUUAGGUACCGUUACCAUAAUAAAUUUAAAAAUGCGAAUAAUAAAUUACAUAAUUUUGGAAAAUAUUAUACUAAUAGAAGUUAAAUAUCUUGCAACGGCUAAUAAAAAAUAAUUAUCCAUUAAAUCCAAAUUUCUACCGUUAUAAAUUUCGCUUUUAAAUUUAAAAUCCAAUUUUCUUGCUAAAUUCGGAUUUUCCUUUUUAAAACUUGUAAUAGUUUCCCUAAGAUAAUUAGACUUUUGGCAGAUAUAUCUCUUAAAGUUGCUACGGUAAGGAUUUUAUAUACGGCCCGUGAAAGGGGGGUGUAAACCAACGUUGUAAAAUUAAAUAAAUAAAAUAAAGGUUUUACUGUUUUUAUACGGGAAAUUAAUGGUUGGAUUUUUGGCGUUUUUCCAAUAAUACAAUAAUUUGGUAUACGGUAUUACCAACCCGAAAAUAGUUUAUAUUAUAUUUAUAUAAUAAUUUAUAUAAAUAUUGGAAAUGAAAACUUUACAAGCGUAUUAAUGCCCGAUUAAAUACCGCUAUAUAAUUAAUUAAAUUAACUAUAACCGGUAAAAGAUAAUAUUAUAAAUAUAAUAAUAAUUAUAUUAUU